UCGAGAAUCUUCGGCAAUGGGCGCAAGCCUGACCGAGCGACGCCGCGUGGAGGACGAAGGCCUUCGGGUUGUAAACUCCUGUCGAGGGGGAAGAAGGGCCGCGAGGCCUUGACUGAUCCCUGGAGGAAGCACGGGCUAAGUUCGUGCCAGCAGCCGCGGUAAGACGAACCGUGCGAACGUUAUUCGGAAUCACUGGGCUUAAAGCGCGUGUAGGCGGAUGAGCGCGUCUGUCGCUGAAAUCCCCCGGCUCAACCGGGGAACGGGCGCGGAUACGGCUCAUCUCGAGGGGCGUAGGGGGACCUGGAACUUCCGGUGGAGCGGUGAAAUGCGUUGAGAUCGGAAGGAACGCCCGUGGCGAAAGCGAGGUCCUGGACGCCUACUGACGCUGAGACGCGAAAGCCAGGGGAGCGAACGG
rnacentral:rRNA from 1 species